GGACUACAAGGGUAUCUAAUCCUGUUUGCUCCCCACGCUUUCGUGCCUGAACGUCGGUACUGGACCAGGAAGCCGCUUUCGCCACUGAUGUUCCUUCUGAUAUCUACGCAUUUCACCGCUACACCAGAAAUUCCGCUUCCCUCUUCCGUACCCUAGCCUCGCAGUUUCGAAUGCAAUUCCCAGGUUGAGCCCGGGGAUUUCACACCCGACUUACGAAACCGUCUACGCACGCUUUACGCCCAGUAAUUCCGAUUAACGCUCGCACCCUCUGUAUUACCGCGGCUGCUGGCAC
rnacentral:rRNA from 1 species